rnacentral:lncRNA from 1 species
GCCUUUGCCUUACGGCCUGGAGCACCAGGCCGAAGCCGAAGGGAGCGUCCGGAUCCCGGAUAGCAGCCAGGACCCGGGCCUUCACGUUCCGGCGCCAGGGACUGGACAGAAUGUGCGGCUAUUAGGUGCCCAGUAGAUCGACAGCCCCUCCGUGCCGGCCCUUGGCCAAGUAGGGACUCGGAAGCUACCCCUACGGCGUCCGCGCCCGGAGCCCUGGCUCUUCUACCUGCCUGCAGAUACAAACCCCACUCCCUGCGAAGAUGGUGUACACGCAGCCCCGAGCACAGACCCGAAGCUGUCCACCCUUCUUGGGCGCCGUCGCGGUCUGGCCGCUGCCCUUCGAACCCAUGGCUUCCACACCUUUCUUCUCUCUGUUCUGCACUUGGAGAAUCUGGGUCAAUUGUAGAAGAAGAGGGAGAGAAAUAGAAAAUAUGAACAGAAAGAAAUUUUUAAGGAGUCUACGCAUUGUACAGACUGCCGAUAAAGCAGCACCUUCCUACUAUUUAUUUCUGAAUACAGCUUGCAGGGACAUUUUGGUAUGAACUAGGAAACUCAUGGGUUAUAAGAUUAAUAUUUUAAAAAGAUAUCAAUAUUGUCUGAUUAAAUAUGUUUAAUAUCAUCAUAUCCCCUUUUAUUAAACCUUAUGCUAAGAAGGGGGGACAGAUAGAAGGGGAAAAUAACAUUGAAAAAAGAGGAUUGAAAGUUCUCUUCUGAACUGUAAGACUUUGCCGGGCCUCUACACAUAUUUGGGAU